UCACAUGGAGCCAGUCAUGUAGGACAACUUCUGAAGGAUACACCUGGGAAAUGGACUCCAGAGCAAGCUCAGUUCUAGAAGGAGAAGAAAGUGCAACGAUUGAUUUCAGAGACAGAAAUGACACGGAGUUUGAAGCCCUGCCAACCCUGUUUGGACACCUGAUGACCACAGAAAGUGCUUUUGUCCCGGAUGGAGACGGUGACAAUUCUACUGGUUAUGGAGUUAACACAGAGAGUGUCGAUGGUGAAGCGAGUGGGGAACCAGAGAAAACUGAAAAAGGUGGCCUGGAAACAAUUGCACUGGUUGGAAUAAUCAUUGGAAUCGUGGUUGCAGUUGGAAUCCUUGCAGGAAUAGUGAUUGCUGUCGUAAGGAAGAUGUCAGGCAGGCCCUGAAAACAGUUGAAACAAGCAGCCAUGUCAUUCUAUGCCAGAAAAUACAAGUGCUUCUUAUUUUAUAAGAACUAAAGACUAUUCCUGCAUUUGUGUGAGAAGAUGAUCCAUGGAAAAUACGGUCAAAGCAUUCCAGAUCUAUGGGGAUCCCACACAGCUCUAAGGACCACCCCCACUCUCCCUGAUUCCAGAGUAUGGAACAUUCCAUAGCAUUUCUACUAUCCAGGAUUUUACCAGAAGAAAAAAAGAUUUUGCAGUAAGAAAAAACCCUGCAGCAAACAGAUGUACACCUGAAAUGUGAUUUACAGGUAAUAUAUGCUUGGUUUUCAAAUGCAACCAAAGAUUAUGUCACAUUACAUUUUAUGGAUUUCUUUAAAAAAAAAAACAUAUCCAGAACAUAUUCAGAAUCUUUUAAGUGUUUUUGACUGGUUAAGUGCUUGUGGCAUGUUCAUCUACCACGUGAUGUAUCAAAAAGGAGGAAUUAGCUUCAGAGAGAACCAGUUAUUUACAAAUUAAAUAUCCAAAAAAUACAGGAUAUUGGAAGCUAAAAUCUUUCCACUAUUGAUACAGAUUUUCUGCUCAUGAUACUUAUGUUAUUCUGUGGCAAAAUAGGGUAGGCCUGGCUGGAACUGACCUACCAACUGAAAGCUUGCUCUGCUGACUAUUGCAUCAGGAAUUUCCUGCCUUCUCUUCUUGCAGAGACAUGCAGGGAUUGAAAUAAACAUCCUGAAUUAAGGGGUGUUUGGAAAAUA
rnacentral:lncRNA from 1 species